rnacentral:snRNA from 1 species
AGCUUUGCUCAGUGGCAGUAUUGUAGCCAAUGAGGUUUCUCCGAGGUGCAAUUAUUGCUAAUUGAAAACUUUUCCCAAUACCCCGCCAUGACGACUUGAAAUAUAGUUGGCAUUGGCAAUUUUUGACAGUCUCUACGGAGA